AGAGUGUGUUCUGUCUGAGGUAGGAGUGUGUUCUGUCUGAGGUAGGAGUGUGUUCUGUCUACAGGUAGGAGUGUGUUCUGUCUACAGGUAGGAGUGUGUUCUGUCUGAGGUAGGAGUGUGUUCUGUCUACAGGUAGGAGUGUGUUCUGUCUACAGGUAGGAGUGUGUUCUGUCUGCAGGUAGGAGUGUGUUCUGUCUGAGGUAGGAGUGUGUUCUGUCUACAGGUAGGAGUGUGUUCUGUCUACAGGUAGGAGUGUGUUCUGUCUGAGGUAGGAGUGUGUUCUGUCUGAGGUAGGAGUGUGUUGUGUCUGCAGGUAGGAGUGUGUUCUGUCUACAGGUAGGAGUGUGUUCUGUCUGAGGUAGGAGUGUGUUCUGUCUACAGGUAGGAGUGUGUUCUGUCUACAGGUAGGAGUGUGUUCUGUCUGAGGUAGGAGUGUGUUCUGUCUACAGGUAGGAGUGUGUUCUGUCUAUAGGUAGGAGUGUGUUCGGUCUGAGGUAGGAGUGUGUUCUGUCUACAGGUAGGAGUGUGUUCUGUCUGAGGUAGGAGUGUGUUCUGUCUGAGGUAGGAGUGUGUUCUGUCUACAGGUAGGAGUGUGUUCUGUCUGAGGUAGGAGUGUGUUCUGUCUGAGGUAGGAGUGUGUGCUUUCUAAAGGUAGGAGUGUGUUCUGUCUACAGGUAGGAGUGUGUUCUGUCUGCAGGUAGGAGUGUGUUCUGUCUACAGGUAGGAGUGUGUUCUGUCUACAGGUAGGAGUGUGUUCUGUCUACAGGUAGGAGUGUGUUCUGUCUGAGGUAGGAGUGUGUUCUGUCUACAGGUAGGAGUGUGUUCUGUCUGAGGUAGGAGUGUGUUCUGUCUGAGGUAGGAGUGUGUUCUGUCUACAGGUAGGAGUGUGUUCUGUCUACAGGUAGGAGUGUGUUCUGUCUGAGGUAGGAGUGUGUUCUGUCUACAGGUAGGAGUGUGUUCUGUCUACAGGUAGGAGUGUGUUCUGUCUGAGGUAGGAGUGUGUUCUGUCUGAGGUAGGAGUGUGUUCUGUCUACAGGUAGGAGUGUGUUCUGUCUACAGGUAGGAGUGUGUUCUGUCUGAGGUAGGAGUGUGUUGAUGAUGGCAGCUGAAAAAUAAAAACCUGCAGCUAUGAA